rnacentral:rRNA from 1 species
AUUGAACGCUGGCGGCAUGCCUUACACAUGCAAGUCGAACGGCAGCGGGCCUUCGGGUGCCGGCGAGUGGCGAACGGGUGAGUAAUGCAUCGGAACGUGCCAUUGAGUGGGGAUAACGUAGCGAAAGUUACGCUAAUACCGCAUAUUCUGUGAGCAGGAAAGCAGGGGACCGCAAGGCCUUGCGCUCUUUGAGCGGCCGAUGUCAGAUUAGCUAGUUGGUGAGGUAAAGGCUUACCAAGGCGACGAUCUGUAGCGGGUCUGAGAGGAUGAUCCGCCACACUGGAACUGAGACACGGUCCAGACUCCUACGGGAGGCAGCAGUGGGGAAUUUUGGACAAUGGGCGCAAGCCUGAUCCAGCCAUGCCGCGUGAGUGAAGAAGGCCUCGGUU